ACUUUGUAUGUUUAUAUCAUAUCUGGUAACUGUGGACAGUGCUUGGAAAAUAUCAUUUUAAAAAAUUGUCUUUAACUUCCCCCAAAUCUCUGCAGUGGUAGAAGAGAAAGAAAACUGGUUUAUUAUGCAAAUAAACCAGAAGGUGAUAUGCAUCAGAGACGAUCUGCUAAGACAGGGAUCCCCAUCUACCAGUUGGUGGCCCCUUAGGAACUGGGCCACACAGCAGGAGAUGAGCAGCAGGCUAGUGAGGGAAGGUUCAUCUGUAUUUACAGCCACUCCCAAUCACUCACAUUACCGCCUGAGCUCCACCUCCUGUCAGAUCAGCUGCUGCAUUAAGUUCUCUUAGGAGAGCAAACCGUAUUGUGAACUGCACAUGUGAGGCAUCUAGGUUGCACACUCCUUAUGAGAAUCUAAUGCCUGAAACUGUCACUGUCUCCUGUCACCCCUAGAUGGGACUGUCUAGUUGCAGAAGAACAAGCUGAUUCUACAUUAUGAUCUGUGGUGGGAGUAGGCCUGCUGCAACCACAGUUUCUUCUGGGCUAUAAUAACUGCAACCAGGGCCAGCUUGGUGACAUGUAACCAGUCUGCAUGUACCACUGCUGGGUUUCUCGUCCUGCUCCCUGAAAUGUGCAGAAUGGCCAUUUCUGCUUCACACAUCAGGUCGGAAGCAUUCUUUUUGUAGUAUCUACGAAGGGACAACUCUGAGCCCAUUGAAGCCUGUAGUGAAAACCCAAAUAUCCUGUGAUAAAUACCAGAAAAAAAAUCUACCUGUGAAAAUUCGCUGUGAUGUGUGGAUUCAUCUCACCGAGUAGAACCUGUGUUUUUACUCACUAGGUUGGAAAAACUCUUUAUGUAGAAUCUACGAAGAAAUAUUUCUGAGCCCUUUGAGUCCUACAGUGAAAACUGAAUAUCCAGCGAUAAAAACUAGAAACAAGAUAUCUGUGAAAAUGCUUGGUGUCAUUUGCAUUUGUCUCACAGAAUGGAACCUGCGUUUUGAUUCACCAGAUUGGAAAUACUCUUUUGUAUAAUCUAUGAAAAAACAUUUCUGAGCCCAUUGAAACCUAUACCAAAAAAUCGAAUAUGCUGUGAUAAAAACUAGAGAAAAACUAUCUGCAAAAAUGGUUUGAAAGGUGUGAAUUCAUGUCACAGAAUGAAAGCUGUGUUUUGAUUCCCCAGUUUGGAAACUCUCUUUUUUGUAGAAUCUGCAAAGGGAUAUUUCUGAGUCCAUUAAAGCCAAUAGGGAAAAACUGAAUAUCCUGCGAUAAAAACUAGAAAAAACCUACCACUAAAAAUGCUUUGUGAUGCAUGGAUUCAUCUCACAGAGUUAAACCUAUGUUUUGAUUCAUCAGGUUAAAAAGACUCUUUAUGAAGAAUCCAUGAAGGGAUGUUUCUAAGCCCAUUGAUGCCUAUUGUGAAAAAACAAUCCGGUGGAAAAAAAAAAUUGAAACAACAUAUCUGUGAAAAUGCUUUGUGAUGUGUGGAUUUAUUCCACAGAAUGGAACCUGUGUUUUGAUUCAACAGGAUGGAAAUACUCUUUUUGUAGAUUCUACGAAAGGGUAUUUCUGAGCCCUUUGAAACCUAUAGUGAAAACCAAAAUAUCAUGCAAUAAAAGCUAUAAAGAAGCU